UAAUGUCUGGGAAACUGCCUGAUGGAGGGGGAGUAACUACUGGAAACGGUAGCUAAUACCGCAUAACGUCGCAAGACCAAAGAGGGGGACCUCGGGCCUCUUGCCAUCGGAUGUGCCCAGAUGGGAUUAGCUAGUAGGUGGGGUAACGGCUCACCUAGGCGACGAUCCCUAGCUGGUCUGAGAGGAUGACCAGCCACACUGGAACUGAGACACGGUCCAAACUCCUACGGGAGGCAGCAUG
rnacentral:rRNA from 1 species